CAGUAAGCGAGCUCCGCGGUACAGUUAAAAAGCUCCGUGCGACAGUAUGUGAGCUCCGUGGUACAGUUAAAAAAGCUUAACGCGACAGUAUGUGAGCUCCGCAGUACAGUUAAAAAGCUCCGUGCGACAGUAUGUGAGCUCCGUGGUACAGUUAAAAAAGCUUAACGCGACAGUAGGUGAGCUCCGCGGUACAGUUAAAAAAGCUUAACGCGACAGUAUGUGAGCUCCGCAGUACAGUUAAAAAGCUCCGUGCGACAGUAUGUGAGCUCCGCAGUACAGUUAAAAAGCUCUGCGCGACAGUAUGUGAGCUCCGCGGGACAGUUAAAAAGCUCUGCGCGACAGUAUGUGAGCUCCGCGGUACAGUUAAAAAGCUCUGCGCAACAGUAUGUGAGCUCCGCGGUACAGUUAAAAAAGCUUAACGCGACAGUAUGUGAGCUCCGCGGUACAGUUAAAAAAGCUUAACGCGACAGUAGGUGAGCUCCGCGGUACAGUUAAAAAAGCUUAACGCGACAGUAUGUGAGCUCCGCGGUACAGUUAAAAAAGCUUAACGCGACAGUAGGUGAGCUCCGCGGUACAGUUAAAAAAGCUUAACGCGACAGUAUGUGAGCUCCGCAGUACAGUUAAAAAGCUCCGUGCGACAGUAUGUGAGCUCCGCAGUACAGUUAAAAAGCUCUGCGCGACAGUAUGUGAGCUCCGCGGGACAGUUAAAAAGCUCUGCGCGACAGUAUGUGAGCUCCGCGGUACAGUUAAAAAGCUCUGCGCGACAGUAUGUGAGCUCCGCGGUACAGUUAAAAAAGCUUAACGCGACAGUAGGUGAGCUCCGCGGUACAGUUAAAAAAGCUUAACGCGACAGUAUGUGAGCUCCGCGGUACAGUUAAAAAAGCUUAACGCGACAGUAGGUGAGCUCCGCGGUACAGUUAAAAAAGCUUAACGCGACAGUAUGUGAGCUCCGCAGUACAGUUAAAAAGCUCCGUGCGACAGUAUGUGAGCUCCGCAGUACAGUUAAAAAGCUCUGCGCGACAGUAUGUGAGCUCCGCGGGACAGUUAAAAAGCUCUGCGCGACAGUAUGUGAGCUCCGCGGUACAGUUAAAAAGCUCUGCGCGACAGUAUGUGAGCUCCGCGGUACAGUUAAAAAAGCUUAACGCGACAGUAUGUGAGCUCCGCGGUACAGUUAAAAAAGCUUAACGCGACAGUAGGUGAGCUCCGCGGUACAGUUAAAAAAGC